UGCCAGCAGCCGCGGUAAAACCAGCACCUCAAGUGGUCAGGAUGAUUAUUGGGCCUAAAGCAUCCGUAGCCUGUUUUGUAAGUCUCCGGUUAAAUCCAUCAACUCAAGUGAUGGGCUGUCGGAGAUACUGCAAAACUAGGGAAUGGGAGAGGUAGACGGUACUCGGUAGGAAGGGGUAAAAUCCUUUGAUCUAUUGAUGACCACCUGUGGCGAAGGCGGUCUACCAGAACAUGUUCGACGGUGAGGGAUGAAAGCUGGGGGAGCAAACAGGAUUAGAUA
rnacentral:rRNA from 1 species